GCCUGGGUGGCCCAGGCGGUUAAGCAUCUGACUUUGGCUCAGGUCAUGAUCUCACGGUUCGUGGGUUUGAGCCCCGCCUCGGGCU
rnacentral:tRNA from 1 species